UUAAUUGAUCAAAAGGUUGGUUAACAGAUUUACAAUGUGACUAGUGUUCUAGAUGGUACGUCCCUAAUGCUACAUAUUACUUUAUCAGGUGUCUGGUAUUUGACCCAGUACUGUCACAAUCAGAGAGAACCUUCAUUACUCAGUACAUGGAGGUUUUACCAGAAAACGACAUGUGUGGCAGACGAGUUGUGUGUAAUACACUCUUUUAUAUGAUACACUGUAGUAAAAGGAUGUACGAUAACGUUUUGAAAAGUAACUGGGAUCAGUUAAAGUACUGUACGCUAAUUGGUAAUUCGUUCCAGUCUUAUCUGCUUAACUCCACUACGUCUUCAUUGGUAAAACAGAUUCCCCAUAUUUACACAUGCACAGAACAUACCAAAGAAGACGAGUUACUCAAGUUCGUGAGCCAUCAUAACGUUUUUAACAAUACUGUAAUCAUAGAGUUCUUAUCUUCGGCUGAUACUGAUUCUGUUUUUGUGAACACUUUUCCUGCUGAUAUCUCUGAGGAUGGCUUAGAGAUACAGUGAAAAACCAUUUUUAUAUAAUAUGCUGAUGCUCGAUAUAUACCAAUGUUUUGGCGCCUUCUGGUAACAUUUUUGUCACGUCUACCGAAUGUUAACUUGGCCAGGCCAUUGUACAUUUUGCUAAACAAUUUAAUUUUUCGUUAAAAAAUGGAAGUGAGGCCCUUUGGUGUUGCUCUGACACGCU